GGUUAAGUGACUAAGCGUACACGGUGGAUGCCUUGGCAGUCAGAGGCGAUGAAAGACGUAGUAACUUGCGAUAAGCCCAGAUUAGGUAGUAACAACCAUUUGAGUCUGGGAUUUCUGAAUGGGGAAACCCACGUGCAUAAGCACGUAUCCUUACUUGAAUACAUAGGGUAAGGAGGCGAACCGGGGGAACUGAAACAUCUAAGUACCCCGAGGAAAAGAAAUCAACCGAGAUUCCGAAAGUAGCGGCGAGCGAAAUUGGACUAGCCCUUAAGCNNNNNNCGCGUUAGACGAACGGUCUGGAAAGUCCGACGAUACAGGGUGAUAGUCCCGUAGUUGACGACGUGUGUUCAGUGAAAUCGAGUAGGGCGGGACACGUGAUAUCCUGUCUGAAUAUGGGGGGACCAUCCUCCAAGGCUAAAUACUACUGACUGACCGAUAGUGAACCAGUACCGUGAGGGAAAGGCGAAAAGAACCCCUGUGAGGGGAGUGAAAUAGAACCUGAAACCGUGUACGUACAAGCAGUAGGAGCAGGCUUUGUCCUGUGACUGCGUACCUUUUGUAUAAUGGGUCAGCGACUUAUAUUCAGUGGCAAGGUUAACCAUCUAGGGGAGCCGUAGGGAAACCGAGUCUUAACUGGGCGUUCAGUCUCUGGAUAUAGACCCGAAACCAGGUGAUCUAGCCAUGGGCAGGUUGAAGGUUGAGUAACAUCAACUGGAGGACCGAACCGACUAAUGUUGAAAAAUUAGCGGAUGACUUGUGGCUAGGGGUGAAAGGCCAAUCAAACCUGGAGAUAGCUGGUUCUCCCCGAAAGCUAUUUAGGUAGCGCCUCGGACGAAUACUACUGGGGGUAGAGCACUGUUAAGGCUAGGGGGUCAUCCCGACUUACCAACCCUUUGCAAACUCCGAAUACCAGUAAGUACUAUCCGGGAGACACACGGCGGGUGCUAACGUCCGUCGUGGAGAGGGAAACAACCCAGACCGCCAGCUAAGGUCCCAAAUUACUACUAAGUGGGAAACGAUGUGGGAAGGCUCAGACAGCCAGGAUGUUGGCUUAGAAGCAGCCAUCAUUUAAAGAAAGCGUAAUAGCUCACUGGUCGAGUCGGCCUGCGCGGAAGAUGUAACGGGGCUAAGUAGUAAACCGAAGCUGCGGCAAUAUACUUUUGUAUAUUGGGUAGGGGAGCGUUCUGUAAGCGGUUGAAGGUGUGUGGUAACGCAUGCUGGACGUAUCAGAAGUGCGAAUGCUGACAUGAGUAACGAUAAAGGGGGUGAAAAACCUCCUCGCCGGAAGACCAAGGGUUCCUGUCCAACGUUAAUCGGGGCAGGGUAAGUCGACCCCUAAGGCGAGGCCGAAAGGCGUAGUCGAUGGGAAACGGGUUAAUAUUCCCGUACUUCUUACAAUUGCGAUGGGGGGACGGAGAAGGCUAGGUGGGCCUGGCGACGGUUGUCCAGGUUCAAGUGCGUAGGCUUAAGAGUUAGGUAAAUCCGGCUCUUUCUAAGGCUGAGACACGACGUCGAGCACCUACGGGUGUGAAGUCAUUGAUGCCAUGCUUCCAGGAAAAGCCUCUAAGCUUCAGAUUGUAAGGAAUCGUACCCCAAACCGACACAGGUGGUCGGGUAGAGAAUACCAAGGCGCUUGAGAGAACUCGGGUGAAGGAACUAGGCAAAAUGGUACCGUAACUUCGGGAGAAGGUACGCUCUUGAUGGUGAAGUCCCUUGCGGAUGGAGCUGACGAGAGUCGCAGAUACCAGGUGGCUGCAACUGUUUAUUAAAAACACAGCACUGUGCAAAAUCGUAAGAUGACGUAUACGGUGUGACGCCUGCCCGGUGCCGGAAGGUUAAUUGAUGGGGUUAGACUUCGGUCGAAGCUCUUGAUCGAAGCCCCGGUAAACGGCGGCCGUAACUAUAACGGUCCUAAGGUAGCGAAAUUCCUUGUCGGGUAAGUUCCGACCUGCACGAAUGGCGUAAUGAUGGCCACGCUGUCUCCACCCGAGACUCAGUGAAAUUGAAAUCGCUGUGAAGAUGCAGUGUACCCGCGGCUAGACGGAAAGACCCCGUGAACCUUUACUACAGCUUGGCACUGAACAUUGACCCUACAUGUGUAGGAUAGGUGGGAGGCUUUGAAGCACGUACGCCAGUAUGUGUGGAGCCGUCCUUGAAAUACCACCCUUGUAGUGUUGAUGUUCUAACGUCGACCCCUAAUCGGGGUUGCGGACAGUGCCUGGUGGGUAGUUUGACUGGGGCGGUCUCCUCCCAAAGAGUAACGGAGGAGCACGAAGGUGGGCUAAUCACGGUUGGACAUCGUGAGGUUAGUGCAAUGGCAUAAGCCCGCUUGACUGCGAGAAUGACAAUUCGAGCAGGUGCGAAAGCAGGUCAUAGUGAUCCGGUGGUUCUGAAUGGAAGGGCCAUCGCUCAACGGAUAAAAGGUACUCCGGGGAUAACAGGCUGAUACCGCCCAAGAGUUCAUAUCGACGGCGGUGUUUGGCACCUCGAUGUCGGCUCAUCACAUCCUGGGGCUGAAGUCGGUCCCAAGGGUAUGGCUGUUCGCCAUUUAAAGUGGUACGCGAGCUGGGUUUAGAACGUCGUGAGACAGUUCGGUCCCUAUCUGCCGUGGGCGUUGGAAGAUUGAAGGGGGCUGCUCCUAGUACGAGAGGACCGGAGUGGACGAACCUCUGGUGUUCGGGUUGUGUCGCCAGACGCAUUGCCCGGUAGCUAAGUUCGGAAUCGAUAACCGCUGAAAGCAUCUAAGCGGGAAGCGAGCCCUGAGAUGAGUCUUCCCUGAUACUUUAAGUAUCCUAAAGGGUUGUCGGAGACUACGACGUUGAUAGGUCAGGUGUGUAAGUGCUGUGAGGCAUUGAGCUAACUGAUACUAAUUGCCCGUGAGGCUUAACCAU
rnacentral:rRNA from 1 species